UCCUCCCUCUGGCGGCGUGCUUAACACAUGCAAGUCGAACGGAAAGGCCCUGCUUUUGUGGGGUGCUCGAGUGGCGAACGGGUGAGUAACACGUGAGUAACCUGCCCUUGACUUUGGGAUAACUUCAGGAAACUGGGGCUAAUACCGGAUAGGAGCUCCUGCUGCAUGGUGGGGGUUGGAAAGUUUCGGCGGUUGGAGAUGGACUCGCGGCUUAUCAGCUUGUUGGUGGGGUAGUGGCUUACCAAGGCUUUGACGGGUAGCCGGCCUGAGAGGGUGACCGGCCACAUUGGGACUGGGAUACGGCCCAGACUCCUACGGGAGGCAGCAGUGGGGAAUAUUGCACAAUGGGGGGAAGCCUGAUGCAGCAACGCCGCGUGCGGGAUGACGGCCUUCGGGUUGUAAACCGCUUUCGCCUGUGACGAAGCGUGAGUGACGGUAAUGGGUAAAGAAGCACCGGCUAACUACGUG
rnacentral:rRNA from 1 species